AACUUUCAACAACGGAUCUCUUGGUUCUGGCAUCGAUGAAGAACGCAGCGAAAUGCGAUAAGUAAUGUGAAUUGCAGAAUUCAGUGAAUCAUCGAAUCUUUGAACGCACAUUGCGCCCAUUAGUAUUCUAGUGGGCAGGACCGUUCGAGCGUCAUUUC
rnacentral:rRNA from 4 species